rnacentral:miRNA from 1 species
AAAAGCAGUGGCCUUUUGAAAGCAGCUUUGAAAAGCAACCCAAAGCCUGCUUUUAAAAGCUGCUGUCAAAAGACCACUGCUUUUAAAAUAAUC